CUCACUGACAUGUGGGGCCUCGUCGACGCCAAGCUAAUCCGCGUCUCCACCGCGAUGCACCGCUUCGCCUCCGCCUCCUCCCUCCCGCCGCCGGCGCCGGCGACGGCGGCGGCCGCGGCGGCGCAGGCUGCGGCUCUCAGGUUCGGCUCCGCCGCCACCACUCGUGUCCCCCGAGCGCUAGCCCUGACCGCCUCCACUUGCCCAUGGCACCGCCGACACCUCUGCUCCUCCUCCUCCUCCUCCUCGUCGGCGGCGGCUGCGGCUGCUACGGCGGCGGCGGUGGAGGAGGCGCGGCAGGGGCGGAAGCAGCUGGGCGCGACGACGCAGCUCUACGAGUACCUCCUCGCCAACGUCCGCGAGCACCCGGUUCUCAAGGAGCUUCGUGAGGAGACGGCGGCCAUGAGAGGGAGCCAAAUGCAGGUUUCACCUGCGCAGGCUCAGCUUCUAGCAAUGCUUGCGCAAAUUCUUGGGGCUCAACGAUGCAUUGAAGUCGGAGUCUAUACAGGAUAUUCGUCGUUAGCUGUAGCACUAGCUCUUCCUGAAUCAGGUCGUUUGGUUGCUUGUGAGAGGGAUGAAAGAUGCCUAGAAGUUGCCAAGAAAUACUAUCAGCGCUCUGGUGUUGCACACAAGGUUGAUGUCAAACAUGCUUUAGCUGCGGAUUCCCUAAAGUUACUAAUUGAUGGUGGUGAGGUUAACAGUUAUGACUUUGCAUUCGUUGAUGCAGACAAGAGAAUGUAUGAGGAGUAUUAUGAACUUCUACUUAAGCUAGUAAGAGUUGGUGGUUUGAUUGUAAUAGACAAUGUCCUUUGGUAUGGUAGAGUUGCUGAUCCACUAGAAAUUAUCUGGCACAUUUUUCCUUAGGUGAAUGAUCGAAAGACAAUUAGUAUAAGGAACUUCAACAAGAAACUUCUGGAGGAUAAUCGUGUCAGCAUCAGCAUGGUGCCAAUCGGGGACGGGAUGACAAUUUGUCGGAAGCUAGUAGAUACCUGACUGAACAACAUACUCUUUCUAGAUAUGGAUUUUGGGCGUGUGCCUUUUUGGCUUCUCGCGACAUUAUCUUCAAAGGGUAUCUAUAGAAGGAUGCAGGUAAUGAUGUUCGUGGCCUUUUGUGAUUCUGUUAAGUUUGGGAUAUGGAGGUUCUGUCUCGGAAUGAGGGGGCAACAAUACUAGUGGCUUCAUUCAGGCGGUACUUGUUACUAAUUCUUUAAGUCCGGGGUUAAAUCCCUAAGUCUGACCUUAAUUGGUUGUACUUGGCAAUGGAUUUCUUUCUUUCUUGAAGGCAUUGUCUGGAGUUCACAGAAUUUCCCUAGGUGAAAACCUAUGGUCUGAUCUUAGUUGAUUGGAACAUGACAAUGAUGACGCGUGCACGCGUCAUUUCCUCAUUGGAGGCAUUGUUUUAAAGGGAGUCCGUAUGAUAGUCUAAGUGUUGUUUUGGUGGAGAUAAGAGAUGAAGAUUACUUGUGGUUGUAGUUCGCUGUGGCACGGUUGUAAUAGUUGUGUCGCUUUUUUUCCUUUUCUUUUAUAAUAUUGAUAGGCUGUGUGCAUCCUAGCUAUGCAGAGGCCGAGGGUGGUCUUAGAAAAAUUGUAUCCUCUCGAUGUAAUUGUUUAAGAUCAAUAAAACUCUCUUUAUCUAAAAAAAGUUAACUUC